rnacentral:lncRNA from 1 species
GUUCGUGGUAAAAACUAAAAACUAAAAAGGUAAAGGAAAAAGGAAGCCAUUUGUAGCUGAGACACCGACUGAAUAUAUAUAAUCUAGCCUACUAUUGCCACUUGGUAAAAUCAUCUGAUCACGUGGUCCCAAAACUUGUGUACACUUUACCGAAUUUCACGUCUUGCAACCUGUAUCUCUUAUUCCAUUCACUUCUCAUCGAAGGCCUUAGCUGUUCCUGUGUCCAAAUCAAGUGCCUUCAUGGAAUUCUCCACAAAGAUGAAAAUUCAUCAUCUAUUCCUCAACUCUUUGUUUGAAUUGCAGAUUUCUCUGAGGUAGCAGAUUCCUUUGCUGAUCUAUUGCAGAAUUUGAGAAAACAGACUAUACAAUAAUGUGCAGUGGUUUUGCAGCCUGUUUCUAGUUCAGCUGUUGAUAGUCUAGUUGCGGCCAGAUGGUGAAAGAUGUCAUCAAAUCAAGUUCAGCAGUUGCACAGAGUCUGUUAACCUGGAGUUAGUUGUUGUCUUGACAAAUUUUGUUCUGCAUUUCUGUGAGUAUUUUAUCCUCGUCAGAACUUUUUCCUUUCGUCUUUUUGUUUGUGUGUAGUAAAAGAACAUGUUUGUUUAUGAGAAGAGGGUAGGCCUGUUCGUCGAACAGAGAACUGAAGGUUGAAGAUAUUGAACUCCUGACUUUGGGCAAACUGAGCAAGUGGGCAGUAGAACAGAUGCUAUUUAGAUUCUUUUAUCCAGAAAGAAUUGUCUUUGGAAAUUUACGCUUUAUUAACCAAAAAAAUAUUAAACCCAUACAAGUGAAUCUAAUCCUUCACACUCUUGCAUAUUCAUUGCAAAUUGUAUAAUAAAUACAGAAGAAAUAAAACUGUAUGCACAUUUAUAAA